UGGUAAUAAUUCAUGAAGUUCCCGUGUCUACUAGCACCCGGAUCCGUCUUAUCUUCCUGCCUUUCCUUGCGCGAUGAUCGUGCCUCUUCCCUCGACAUUUUACAAAAUCUGAAAUUCGAAGCAAAAGGAUCUGUUCUUU